rnacentral:rRNA from 1 species
AUUGAACGCUGGCGGCAUGCCUUACACAUGCAAGUCGAACGGUAACGGGCCUUCGGGUGCUGACGAGUGGCGAACGGGUGAGUAAUACAUCGGAACGUGCCCGAUCGUGGGGGAUAACGAGGCGAAAGCUUUGCUAAUACCGCAUACGAUCUACGGAUGAAGGCAGGGGACCGCAAGGCCUUGCGCGGACGGAGCGGCCGAUGGCAGAUUAGGUAGUUGGUGGGAUAAAAGCUUACCAAGCCGACGAUCUGUAGCUGGUCUGAGAGGAUGAUCAGCCACACUGGGACUGAGACACGGCCCAGACUCCUACGGGAGGCAGCAGUGGGGAAUUUUGGACAAUGGGCGCAAGCCUGAUCCAGCCAUGCCGCGUGCAGGAUGAAGGCCUUCGGGUUGUAAACUGCUUUUGUACGGAACGAAAAGCCUUCUUUUAAUACAGGAGGGUCAUGACGGUACCGUAAGAAUAAGCACCGGCUAACUACGUG